CCUACGGGUGGCAGCAGUGAGGAAUAUUGGUCAAUGGACGAGAGUCUGAACCAGCCAAGUAGCGUGAAGGAUGACUGCCCUAUGGGUUGUAAACUUCUUUUAUAUGGGAAUAAAAUGUUCCACGUGUGGGCUUUUGUAUGUACCAUAUGAAUAAGGAUCGGCUACCUCCGUGCCAGCAGCCGCGGUAAUACGGAGGAUCCGAGCGUUAUCCGGAUUUAUUGGGUUUAAAGGGAGCGUAGGUGGGUUGUUAAGUAAGUUGUGAAAGUUUGCGGCUCAACCGUAAAAUUGCAGUUGAAACUGGCAGUCUUGAGUACAGUAGAGGUGGGCGGAAUGCGUGGUGUAGCGGUGAAAUGCUUAGAUAUCACGAAGAACUCCGAUUGCGAAGGCAGCUCACUGGACUGCAACUGACACUGAGGCUCGAAAGUGUGGGUAUCAAACAGGAUUAGAUACCCGAGUAGUC
rnacentral:rRNA from 1 species